rnacentral:rRNA from 1 species
UACGAAGGGGGCGAGCGUUGUUCGGAAUUACUGGGCGUAAAGGGCGCGCAGGCGGCUCUGAAAGUCAGAUGUGAAGGCCCCGGGCUUAACCUGGGAAUUGCAUUUGAUACUCUGGAGCUUGAGUACGGGAGAGGAGAGUGGAAUUCCCAGUGUAGAGGUGAAAUUCGUAGAUAUUGGGAAGAACACCGGUGGCGAAGGCGGCUCUCUGGACCGUAACUGACGCUGAGGCGCGAAAGCGUGGGGAGCAAACAGG